AGAUGAUUUUUAAUGAAAUAAAUGAAUCUGGCAGCACUGACGUUCCACAUUUGUCCCGCUGCGUGCUUGUUUCAAAAUUCAAAUUCAAAGAUGGCGUCAAUCAAAGUCCGAAACAAUUGCCUCAAAAUAUAAUACAGUUUGUGAUAUGGGUAGCUGCGAAACGGAGGAAAACAAUUAUUUCAAAAUCAAACAUAAAUAUGCAUAGAUCCAAGUGGCAGUAAGUGUAGCAAUUUUUUGCUGCGUCAAUUAUCAAAAUUUCAGUGAUCAUUUCGGCACAUCGAUUCCGAAAAAUCUCAAUAUAAAGACCCACACCUGAGAAGCCGACAACGAGCCGACACGACCACAAAAGUCAAAAGAGGAAUCGACGACGUCGCCGAAUACCGAAGCGCAACGGUCCAGCAGCAGAACCGGAAGCUGAGAGAACCAUAAAACAGCCCCCUCGACGAGGUACUCCAUCCAUUCGGCAUAAACAUGUCGUGCUGCGGCGCUUACUCGUACACCUACUGCCUUCCAUCCUGUGCUUAUGUGCCCGUCUCCUACUACGCCCCCAUUCCGACGGCGACACCGAUCACCUACACCUACAGUUUCGGCAAACAAUUCUCAACCGGCUAUCCAUGCUCCGGGUAUCCAUAUUGUUGCAGUAAUGGUUGUUGUACGGGCGGGCCGUGUUGCUAACGGCGAGCACUAAGAAUGUACACAUCUUUUAAUUCUACACCUGCAAUAUAUAUAUUUACGCAUUGUUGCCGAAACUGAUUUUAUUAAAGAAAAAUGCAUAUUAAACGUUUGUUUCGCGUGUUAUUAUCAAAUACAUAAUCAGAAAUUAUUUGUUUAUUAAAUCUAGUUUACUUACUUUGUUAUCUGUAUCCAUGGCAACGUAAUUUGACAAUCAAUAUUAAUUUUUUAAUAUCAAUCAAAUAUCAGAAUCAGUUUGAGAUCCACUAAAUUCUCAGUGUUAAAAAAUAUUUUUCAAAAAUGAAUUCCAACGCGACUAUUGACAACCAGUUGAACACCAAGCAGAAUGGCAACCAGAACGCACCCGCCACGCUGAAUGAAGACAGCACGAAUGGUGCGAAUAACGAAUGUGUGAGCGGACACAAGAGGAGACUUGACGCAGUCGUACUGGGACCUAGAAAUGCACAAUGCAUAUCAAAGGAUGGAAUGAUUUGCUGUCCUUGUUCCGAAGGCAUAAAGUAUUCGUAUUUCGCGCCGACGCAGUGCUACGUUCCGAUGGAGUACUACGUGCCUGUGCAGUGUUGCGUUCCGGUCGAGUGCGAGAUUCGUUACGGCACGCCGUUCAUUCCCGGCAAAGAUAACCCUGCUUCAAAUUGUAACUGAUUGUGUUGAGAUAUUAAAAUAUAUCAUUUUGUUAUUGGAAAUUGUCCACGAUAAUAACAUGUAUUUUAUUAUUUCGGUCAUACGCUGUCUACUUUGGGUAAGUAAAAAAAUACACAUUAAACAUUAUACUCGUAAUAUAAAUAUGUUUCAUUAAAUGGGAUUACGCAUAAUGGCCGCGCCUUCUCUCAUUGCGAAUUGAGCUGCUCAGACAGAAGGAAAAGAUGGCGGCGAUCAACUCAGUAGCGCAGAGGCCAAUUGCAACGUAGCCAAGGAUUUCAACGUUGUCCUUCAGUGAUCGGUAUAAUUUCUUGUUGCAAGCAUCGUCGAAGAAGGACCGAUCUGCUUGGUGGCAUGACUGCGGUUUACCUUCACAGCAACUGGAUGGCAGUUGCGUAAAGUCUCCGGGGCCGUUAUUCCCGCAGCAUUUAAGCUAUUGGCAAAAAAUUAUUGUUUGAGUGAUAUGUUUUUUUAUAUCGUUGUAAAGAAUACUUACAACUUGUUGCAUGGAAUCGAUAGCGUCUGUGGUGGUUUUAUCACGGCCGUACUUUGCGUAGGCUUUGUCCAUUGCCUUGUAGAUUUCCUUUUUGAAGCUUCCAUCGCUUUCUUUUACCUGCAGGAAAGCAAACACGCCCAAUGCUAUUUGUAGGAUGAAGAUGGCGAGGAGUAUCACACCGUACUGUGAACAAAAACAAUAUUUAAAUCAUUGGUAUUGAUAGAUAUUAGUUUUAAUUUAAACUUACGGUAGUUAACAUGCAUGUGCUCUCUGAUGGCGCCACAGCAUCCGAAAAAUGAGAUAACGAAUACAAUAGUACCGACGACGAUUACAAAGGUCGGUGCUAAUGCGUAGGUUCUAUCAUCGAUUGCGUUUGUGAUGUCGUUCAAUUCCAGUUGGUACAGGAUACCAACAGCCAACAUCGCCAGCCCAGCAAGCUGAAAAAGAAAAAAACAAUUAAAAUGUGUAAAAAUACUUAUUUUAAUUUUUCUUGUAUAAAAUAGGCAACACACACAUCAUGGCAUCCACUGCGCAGUGAAAUUAGAUGAUUUCGAGCAAACUUUCGGUUUUAGUCUAGUUUUAGGAGUAAGAAUUUGUAUAUAAAUCAGGUUAGUCGGUCAAUUCUGAGUUUUUUUUAUUGAAUUACUAAAUUAAGAAAGCAUUUGAAGACUAUUGGUCUAUUAAAAAUGUCUCAGACAAAUAUAAAACUUAAUUUCAUUAAAAAAGCAAUGUAAAGUGUAACACGGGUUGCCCACUUUUCGCACAUACAAAAAUUCAUCUACAUUUGUAAAUGUGUUGCAACAUUUUAAAUUUUCAAGGUAGGAAGUGUGUAGGUAUUGAAAUAGCGUACAUAUGUGUAUGUAUAAUAUCCGGUGUUAGUCAUACGCUUAAACUAACUAGGGAGUAAUGUUGAUUGACGUGAAUUUAUAAUUCUUGGAGCCAAGGUUUUUCGAUUUUAUUCAUCACCGGCGUGCAGGCAAGGUGAUUAGUUCUACCUUUUGUAAAUAACUUACUUAUGUAAGACGUAAAACAAUUUGAAAGUAACCAACGCAUUGUAUUUGUGUUGUACGAGUAUCCGAACAUUGCAAAGUGACAAAAGGUAAUUGCAUUACAAUGUACUGUUUACUGUCUCAUUUAGUGCUCAUUAGUUUGUAGAGUAAAUAAGGAUGAGCACCUCUUUAACGUCAGCGUAUGUGGAUAUUUUUAUCAGUUAUACUGGGACUUUCCUUAAUGUUAUCUUUACCGCACCGCACCUGUUGACAAUUUAUUAUAUCACGUCAGUAAACAACACGCUGUAAAACCAAUUAAUUCUAUGCGUCAUACUGUAUAUAAAAGAAUUAUGAAGAUUAAUUGUUGAUUAUAGAAUAACUUAAUUCAUAUUGAAAAAAACAAUACUUGCAGUGAUGAAUUGAAUUUGCGAGGAACUUAAAUCAAAGUAUAACAGAUGGCGCUGUAGUAGGUAAAUAUUAUGUGUGGGCAUAGUUUAUUAAUACAAGCAUUUUAGUUCAACCUUGGGAUGCAAGUGUGUUUGUGCUGGAUGUGGAGUGAUAUAGAUGAUGGCUUUGCAUAAUGACACUGUGUUUAUUACUCAGUAAAUUGUGAAAACGAGAAUUUAAUAAAUGAUAAGAUGGCAACUUUCAUGACAUGCGCAAUAAGUCACUUAAUUAAGUUUUAUCUUGUUCAGACUCAAAAUGGCUUACGUAUUCAAUAAAAAAAAGAAUGAAAAAGGUGCUGAAUUGAUAAAUGCGGCUUUCUUUUUAUUAAAGUACAGAGCCUGUGUUGAUUCUAGGUUGUCCGGAACAGUUAGAUACAAACAUAUAACUCAAGUUAGUCGUUUUGCCACGAAUACCCGUAUACUCUUUAAAACCAAUUGUCAAUUGUCAAAAAUUACACAAACCAUAAUGUGAAAAAUAAUCAAUAUUUCACGUAAUUAAUAUUUACACAUAAUAUCACACGAACCAAAUAACCUGAUACAAUAAAUGUUAUCAUUUUUUAUUUCAAUUCACAAUUUGAACCGGUUCCGACCUGUUUGUUCAGCUGCAAUUGCGCAAUAAUUAAAUCACGUGCACCUAUAUAUAUAAAACCACGAAGUACACAGUAUUUUACAAUGAAUUAAAUAACCUUUAUUAAAAAUGUUUUGAUGUUUUUACUUACGGCAAAGACGAGAUUGAAUAAGAACACUAAGUAUUUAACGAUUCCACUUGCGCAACCCAUCUUGUAUGUAUAUUUGUUUCACUGGCUAGACAAAACAAGUAAUCCAAUUUUUAGAAACCUAAACGAUGUAGACCGCACUUUUGUCCCGCUUUUGUUGCGAGAAAUGUUCUAUACUUGUUGACGCGUACACUGCUAGCACAACACCCACCGAUAGACACAAACUGGCAACCGUGGCACAAACAGUGUGUAACACGUAAAAACUCAAUGGGAGGGAGGCAGGUGAACAGCAGCGGUGAUCAACACAGUGUACAUUCGCUGGUUUCAACAAGUUGCGUUGAACUGCUCGGAAUACUUGAACGUCGCCAUGAGCCAUGAGAGUAUUUAUUCCUGAUAUGGAGUAUCAACAUUGCGCAGCGUACCGAGUGCAAAACUCAUAUCAGCACUCUAGGUUUUUUUCAUAUGCGAUAUCUACGAUAAUCGCUGCAAAACAUCCACAAAACAUCAAAAAUGAAUCACCAAUCGAUUGCAGCAAUACUCACAUGCUGUUCCAGAAUAUAAAAACGGUCACGCGUUUUUGCGUCAUGGUCUAACAAUUGUGUCAUUUUCAUGCGCGUGCUCGUAGUGGAAGGCUCAGUACCAUUCAUAAACGCCAUGCAGCCGAUUGUUAACUCAGCAAUCAGAAUUGCCUACGUACAAUUCGGAGGAAUGUCACAUUACAGUUGCGUACAAUACAACAGCCGACCAUUGAAGAAAUGAAACUUAGGGCUCCUAAAAUGAUCAGAACGAUUGGUAACUUUAAGAAACUAACUUUAGUCACGUAGAUUUCUAUCAGGGAAAGGUCGUCAAUGUAUACAAUGCCCAGGCCAACAAGAGAAGCACUCAAUAACUAAAAAAUUAAAUUCAGGUUUAAGUAAA